GAUGAACAACGUAGUGAAAUGCGAUAACUAGUGUGAAUUGCAGAAUUCCGUGAAUCAUCGAGUCUUUGAACGCACAUUGCGCCCCCUGGUAUUCCGGGGGGCAUGCCUGUCCGAGCGUCAUUGCUGCCCAUCAAGCACGGCUUGUGUGUUGGGUCGUCGUCCCCUCUCCGGGGGGGACGGGCCCCAAAGGCAGCGGCGGCACCGCGUCCGAUCCUCGAGCGUAUGGGGCUUUGUCACCCGCUCUGUAGGCCCGGCCGGCGCUUGCCGAACGCAAAUCAAUCUUUUUCCAGGUUGACCUCGGAUCAGGUAGGGAUACCCGCUGAACUUAAGCAUAUCAAUAAGCGGAGGA
rnacentral:misc_RNA from 1 species